UACGGCGGUCAAAGCGGGGGUGUCCAUCCGAUCCCAUCCCGAUCUCGGAAAUUAAGCCUCCCAGCGAUUCAUUAAGUACUGCCAUCUGGUGGGAACAAUGUGACGCUGCCGGUC
rnacentral:rRNA from 1 species